rnacentral:rRNA from 1 species
UACGUAGGGGUCGAGCGUUGUCCGGAGUUACUGGGCGUAAAGCGCGUGCAGGUGGCUCAUUACGCCCGGCGUGAAAGCCCCCGGCUCAACCGGGGAGGGUCGUCGGGGACGGGUGAGCUUGAGGGUAGCAGGGGCUGGUAGAAUUCCCGGUGUAGUGGUGAAAUGCGUAGAGAUCGGGAGGAACACCAGUGGCGAAGGCGACUACCUGGCCUGUUCUUGACGCUGAGGCGCGAAAGCUAGGGGAGCAAACGGG